CGACCCGCUCCACAAAUACAUAUACUAAUACACAUAGAGACCCAAAACCUAAAUCCUUAACUCAAACGCGCACUGUUCCUCUUUUCCAAAUCGAAUCCAGCCCUAUUUUCAGCCUAAAUCCAUGGUGACUGAUUCCACACCCAUAACCACGUGUUCCUCCUUCUCCACUCUUGUCGUUUCUAAUGGUUUCUGAUGCCAAAGAUUCCCCUCUCCUCUAACUCGCUCGAAUUGCAUAUAUAUAUAUAUAUAUAUAUAUAUAUAUAUAUAUAUAUAUAUCUCN
rnacentral:lncRNA from 1 species